UCAGCAUGGUUCGCACGCGGAGCCGGAGACGCUGCCGAGUCACUCACAGCCACCGCCGCCGCCGAUCCCCGGAACGAGAGGAACAGCAGGAGGAAGAAGCUUCUCCUUCCCCCCGUCCCAGCAGCGCCACUAACUUCUCACUGCCUAACCUGCUGCCUCCCGCCCCCCACACUCGCCACUGGCUGUAGCCCCCCAGCGGCUGCAGAUCAUUGGCCAAGGUGACCCGUCGCUCAGGCUCUUCGUCACGCGCCGCUUGCUGGCUCGCGGCCCCCAAGCUGCGUUGACCCGCGCAGGCCUAGGCGGUUGUGAACACCCGCCUCCCAGACCCCACGCGCCGACUUCCGGUCUUUUUCUACGUCUAUUGGUCAACGUCCCUAACUAUCGCGUCACGACCUUAAAGUGGAUUAGUUCGUCUUGUGGUCAGUCACGGUGACCCAUGACAAUGAGAGGCUUCAUUGGCGCCAUAAAGCGUCGAUCACUUUGUCACAGGACGUCGCGUGGUACAAUUGGCCCGCAAUAGUACCAUUCUUCCCGCCCCCAUCUGAGGUGACGGGAAAGGGUUGGGGAAUUUCCACUUGUGAUUAACAUUACGGCAGAGGUGACGACCCGCAAGGAUUGGUAAGAUGUGGAGUAGAAUUCACCCUCAGUUUUCUGGGGCUUCUCUGUCAAGGAUUGCAAGAGGCACGGAAGUUUUACGAAGCUCUCCCACCUGUCGCUCUCCGCGAGACGCUGAGACUGCGGCCGGAGAGUCGCUGCACGGGGAUUGGAGGAAAGAUGCAAUCAUCCUCAUCUAGUCUCCACCUUCCUGACAGUCCCUGGUUGGAGGAGCGAAGCGUCAGUCACUCGAGCGGUCGCCACCUCUGGGACAGUACUCCUGCCCUCACCUUCUCCCAAGUGCCUAGCAGAGCCUUGAGCACGAUGCCUCUCAGGGUUCAUGUGAGGAUCAAAUGAGACUAAGUGGAGAAAACUGAACACAGCGCCUGGUGUGCAGGCCUGAGGCCAAGAGCCAGUACUUUCCCACAGAAAGAGAGUAACACUCACCACAGAGGGGAAGAAGCGGCUUGUCUUUACAUGCUUGAGGGCCGUGGCUAAGAGGAAGGAGUUGAUUCAAAACCAGAGUGGGGAAGAGUGCUGCUGGCUAUUGGGAUGGUUGUGAAGAUUAAAUGAGAUACUACAUGUAAAGCUCCUGGCACACUGCCUACCAGAACAUCCCUUCCCAGAACUCUGGCCCCUCCAUCAUUCCUCCUCACCGUGACCUCCACUUCUUACCAUGAGGCCUGGAUGGAGCUGGGGGCAGCAGACAGGAACAAGAGGAACACGGAUUGGGGCUGACUGAGAUGAGCAGCAUCUGUUGGCUUCCAAGCGCUUGCUGGGUUCCAAGCACUACCUUAGCACCUCGCAUGUCAUCUCCAAGAGCACAGAAGCCCCUGGAGGCUUCAGCUUAGAUGUCACAUGCUCAGAGAGGACACUGCUGAUCAGUCACCAAACCUAAAGUGUCAUCCCAAGCACUGGGACACAUCACCCUAUAGUGUAUCAUUGUAUUUGAACUUUCCCUGGAGCUGUUUUUUUUUUUUUUUUUUUUGAGCUGUUUUUAUUUACUAAACAUGUUGCCCGUUUCCCUCUCUGCAGAGUGGAAGCUUCAUGAAAGUGCAUUCUUGAUGGUCUUGUUUAUUGCUGGGUCCCUUGUGGCUGAAAGGCAUUCAUUGGAUGUUUGUGGAAUAAAUAAGCUACUGAAAUUACUCC